rnacentral:lncRNA from 1 species
AAACUUCGUACAACGCACUGGAUUUUCAUAUACGUUCUACAAAUGCAUUCUAUCAAAUAUAUCAAAACACACGUACACGGAGAAAAACGAAUAUACUAGUUAGUGUACGUUAUAUUAUUUUCUCAAUAUUAUCCGUUUUUAAUCUUUGAGAAGCUUAUUAUUUUAUACCUUGCCAAGCUUAUCCGUGAUUUAUUUUUCGUCGUGCUUAUAUAGUGAAAUACGCUUAUCUUGGGACUUUUAAAAAUAUAAUUUCAUUUUGUUCGGUUCGGUAUCGAAAUCACAUUGUGUUAUGAAGCUUUUUUUUCGAAUAGUACGCGUUAUAGCAAUAUAUUUUGCAAUCCAAUUUUUAUUUAAAUACAGUUUUCUGUGUCUUGAAGUGAUGCCUAAAAAGAAUAACUAAUAUAUGGAGAAGAAAAUGUCCGAAUCCAUAAAAAUAGUUUUUAGCAGUUGUGGCGUGCUCAGCCCUCAUCAGAGGACGCCAUCAUCAAGGGACAUUUGUCUCAGAGAGCUUACCGCAGGAGGAGAUUAGAAGUUACGGAUUUGGUGAAAUUGGAUUCAAUAAUUACGAUAAGAUUAUUUUGUGGGAGAUUAUCAAUCCGGUCAUCGUGAGCGAUUCGUAAACAACUGCUUCAAGUAUGUAGGAAGAUUAUUGUGAUCAACGCUGGACAGAUUGGAAGAAACCUUAACCAUGAGUAGCAGACACAUACACCACAUAUUAAUGAAAUGGAAAUAAAUGCGUUGCUUUAAAAAAUCAA